rnacentral:rRNA from 1 species
GACGUCAAAUCAUCAUGCCCCUUAUGUCUAGGGCUACACACGUGCUACAAUGGCUGGUACAGAGAGAUGCUAAACCGUGAGGUGGAGCCAAACUUUAAAACCAGUCUCAGUUCGGAUUGUAGGCUGAAACUCGCCUACAUGAAGCUGGAGUUGCUAGUAAUCGCGAAUCAGAAUGUCGCGGUGAAUACGUUCCCGGGCCUUGUACACACCGCCCGUCACACCAUGAGAGUUGGCAAUACCCAAAGUUCGUGAGCUAACGCGCAAGCGAGGCAGCGACCUAAGGUAGGGUCAGCGAUUGGGGUGAAGUCGUAACAAGGUAGCCGUAGGAGAACCUGCGGCUGGAUCACCUCCUUUCUAUGGAGA